CAGGCCUAACACAUGCAAGUUCGAACGAGAAAAGGGGAGCAAUCCUCUGAGUAAAGUGGCGACCGGGUGAGUAACACGUGACUAACCUACCCUACGGUGUGGAAUAACAUCGGGAAACCGAUGCUAAUACCGCAUAACAUCCUUGAUUCGAAAGGAUUGAAGAUCAAAGGAGCAAUUCGCCGGAGGAGGGGGUCGCGGCUGAUUAGCUAGUUGGCGGGGUAACGGCCCACCAAGGCGAAGAUCGGUAGCCGGCCUGAGAGGGCGCACGGCCACACUGGAACUGAAACACGGUCCAGACUCCUACGGGAGGCAGCAGUGGGGAAUUUUGCGCAAUGGGGGAAACCCUGACGCAGCAACGCCGCGUGGAGGAUGAAGCCCCUUGGGGCGUAAACUCCUUUCGACCAAGACGAUAAUGACGGUACUGGUGGAAGAAGCACCGGCUAACUCUGUGCCAGCAGCCGCGGUAAUACA
rnacentral:rRNA from 1 species